UCACAUUGAUCACCGAAGUGAUCGUACGUAAAUUUUUACAAAACAUGUUGACACGUCAAAUCGUAACAUUUAAUCGUUUAAAAUCCAAUCAAUAAAAUUACAGUUAAGAUAAUAUAUAUGAGCGGGAUAAACUUAAAUCGAAACUUGUGCCUCAGUUUUAUAAAACCUUAAUUUUCAAAACCAAAUAACAAAGUAGAAACUAAAAACACAAACUGAUAGCUUAUUUUCCAAUGAGACUGUCUGAGACCUACGCAUACCGAGCCCAGUGUCAGAAAUCAGAAAAGGUACCUGAAAGGGAAAACUAAGAGGGGUUGAGCUACUCGAGCUUAGUGUGAGUCCGAAUCAAGACUAAAAAUAGAAAUACAGAACACAAUUCAAUAUUGAACAACUACAAAUAUAUAUACAGAAAUAGAAGGUGAUUUCGAGAUCAACGUGCCAACGGAACGUAAUAUUUCAAACAUACCAAAUCAUGCCCAGCCACUCAGUCAUAUGUGUUUUUAGUCAGACGGAAUAUAGUCAGAUCAUCUAGCACCCAGAAUGCUCAAACAGAUGCGUAUGAAAAGUAGUCAAGAAAUAAAACCCACCCAACCAGCCAACACACCUCUGCGUCCCCUGAUCACACCCCAUAAGAGCUGAUUAAACUCAUCCAACCAAAACACACCACAUAGAACCUCGAAGGCCUAUCCAACCCCACAUACCAUGUUUAUGGACUAAGCCACUCAGAUAUUUAUACAUAGUAGAGCUGACGUAUAUGCAGUACAGUGCAAUGCGGUAGUCCACUAUACAGUCAUGUUGCAGUUUAAACUGCCAGAUCAGAUAAUAGUGUGCAGCAAAGCUGACGCACUUACGGUAUAGUGCGAUAAAUCAUUGUACGAAUAAAUUGAAGUAGAACUACCAGAUCAGAUCAGAACCAAACUCCCUUCUCUUCGCAAUCCCACCCAAAACUUAACUUUAUGCAAGUAUAUGUAUGUUUACAUUAUCACAGGAAAUAAUGAGCACAUCCAUAGUCAAUCAAAUAGAAACAGAUAUGCACACACAUACCCAGCUAACCAGGUCCAGAGUUAGACAUCUCACACAACAAUUACCAAUAUCACAUAAGUCGCAACCCAAAACAAAGUUUUAAUUACCCUUCUUAAGGCUUAGCCAAGGGCUGAAGCACACAAACACAUUAUUAGAUCAGAAACGCACACAGAACCAAUGUAACUGUCUUAAAACCACACGCCCAUGUUCUCCAGCCAUGUGGAAAUGCCUAGGUCAUGUGGGAGGUCAAAAGCCUAUGUAAAAAGGGGCACACGACCAUGUAGCUGAGGCAGACGCCCGUGUAAAGAGAAGCACACGGCCGUGUGACUAAGGCAAACGCCUGUGUGGACUAAGGACAUGGUUGUGGGAGCAGGUUGCGUAACUCUCUAUCUAUUUGCACUAAAAUAGAGUACAAGCUGACACGACCAUGUGAGGGACUUACAUGCCCGAGUGGGAUCCCUAAAUCACUAAAUUAGUCACACGACCGUGUGGCACAAAGUCACUCAAACUCUAACCCCCAAACAAACAUGCUCGUGUGCCCGAGAGGCACGACCUUGUGAAAAACGACAAAAAUCCCCAAAUCAGCCACACGGCCGUGUGACACCUAAAUCAGCCCGAAAGCCCUAAUUCCCAAAAGCACACAGCCAUGUGUACCAGCACAAGCCAGUGUGGACACCCGUGUGGUCACAAAACCACCCUAAAAUAGCCUUGAAAAACAUGCUAUCAGCCACAAAGCACUCUCCAGCCCUCGAUAGAUAAAAAAUAAACCAAUUUAUACAACUUCUAAGCAUAAGACAAUAAAACAACAUCAGUAUUAAUAGGCUUGCGAACACUCAUACACACAAUAAUGACUUUUCAUAAAGUUGAAACAGGAUUCGCAAAUAAGACAGAAAAAUAUACGAAACCCACACCUGAUUCGACAAUGGUAGAGCAAAAUUCUUCAUUGUACUUGCAACAAAACUCACUUUCUAGAGGAAAGAAAGGAAAAUCGAAGAGAAAACCAUAACCAUAGUAAAAUAAAAUAAAAUAAAACCAAUAGAAGAGAAAAAGAACGUCCCAGCCAAAAAGAAGAAAAAUAAAAACCCAAAAACAAAAUAAAAAUAAAUAAUUAAAUAAUUAAAUAAUUAAACAAUUAUAUAUUAAAUUAAAAAACAAAAGUAUUCCUCUCAAAAAGCACAUAAGGACUCGAAUCAAGGACCCUAUGACAAACUAACACACACUCAACCACUAGACCAGCAAGCCCAUUCUGUCACUUAAACAUACAACCAAACACAAUAGCGCAAUAUUCUCACUGACCCUAACCAUAAAAGUCAAAACACCUAACCCAAAAAUUUGAAGUGUUACAACUUACCCCUCCUUAAAGAAAUUUCGUCCCCAAAAUUUCCAACUAACAGAAUAGUGGUAUAACACAACCUAUACCACCACACUCCCACUGCGCACUCUAGCCCGAGUAGGACCGAAUCAAACUUAAGACCUCAUACACACCCAGAACACUUAACUACUGAAGCAGAUACACAAUAUCCUAUCAGACAUAAAUUUCAAUACUCUAAUCUAAACGUCGAAUCAUUCACAUCCAUACAUGUCCCAAAAUCAUCGAGGACACUCCCAGAUACGAUGUUCUAUGGACCCACAUUGAAAACAUGCUCCUGCCUUUUUCCAGCAAUCGCCCGGAUGGCACUUCUUAUAGUGCUCACAAAACAGAGUGCUAGCACAACUACCGGCACCCACAACUACCGGCACCCUCCGCACAACCGCUAUUGCCAUUUAAAUACAUUUUAACACGCUUCACAGAAUGAGGCCCAACCUCGGAGAACUGCGAUCUCUUUUCUUCUUACAAUCUACACACCUAGCUUGAAUCGUUUCACUAGUCCCCCUUACCCUAGCCUCAAACACCUUCUCUAGUACUUUCCUCACUACCUAAGCCAAUACCUCAAUAAAAAGCUUCAGGUUAUCCCUACCCGAAAUUGGCAGAAUCAUACUGACCCCUGACUCUUGAACAGACUCACGCCCUGGAGAAGUAGAUGCCUCCCCCCGAUCUUGCUUACCCUCAGAAUCCAUAUCAGUCUUGUCGCUAACUUAGAAUAUCUACAUUUUCAGAGAACAAAAUAGUUUCGAGUUUCUACCUAGACCAGUAUCAAAGUUUCAGACAGUUCUUUUCUGUAAAAAUUUUUCCAAAACACAAAUCGUUUCAGCUUACUGUGGUAAAGUUUUCUCAAAAAUUCUUUUUUUUAAAACAACCACAUGCGCACCUGGAUAUGUAAAAACACAGGCCAAGUUUUUACAAACCUGACUCUGAUACCACUAAAUGUAACACCCUAAAUCUGGCCUAGAUGUUUAGAAUGAAUUUUAGAUGUCACAUUGAUCACCGAAGUGAUCGUAGGUAAUUUUUUACAAAACAAGUUGACACGUCAAAUCGUAACAUUUAAUCGUUUAAAAUCUAGUUAGUAAAAUUAUAGUUAAGUUAAUAUAUAUGAGUCGAAUAAACUUAAAUCAGAACUUGUGCCACAGUUUUAUAAAACCUUACUAUCGGAACUUGUGCCACAGUUUUAUAAAACCUUAUUUUUCAAAACCAAAUAACAGAGUAGAAACUGAAAACAGAAACUGAUAGUUUAUUUUCCACUGAGACUGUCUGAGGCCUCCGCAUACUGAGCUUAGCAUCAAAAAUCAGAAAAAGUACCUGAAAGGGAAACACUGGGAAGGGGUGAGCUACUCGAGCUCAGUGUGAGUCUGAAUCAAGACUAAAAAAAGAAAUACAGAACACAAUUCAGUAUCAAACAACUACAGAUAUAUAUAUAUAGAAGUAGAAGGUGAUUUCGAGAUUAACGUCCCAACGGAAUGUAACAUUUCAAACACACACCAAAUCACGCACAGCCACUCAGUCAUAUGUGUUUUUAGUUAGAAGAAAUACAAUCAGAUCAUCUAGCAUCCAGAAUGUUCAAACAAAUGUGUAUGAAAAGUAAUCAAGUAAUAAAACUCACCCAACCAGCCAACACAGCUCUCCGUCCCCCGAUCACACCUCAUAAGAGUUGAUUAAGCUCAUUUAACCAAAACACACCACAUAGGACCUCGAAGGCCCAUCCAACCUUACGCACCAUAUUUGUGGACUAAGCCACUCAGAUAUUAAUACGCAGCAGGUCUGAUGUAUAUGCAGUACAGUGCAAUGCAGUAGUCUGCUAUACUGUCAUGUUGCAGUUUAAACUGACAGAUCAGAUAAUACUGCGCAGCAAAGCUAACGCACUUGCGGUGCAGUGUGAUAAAUUGUUGUAUGAAUAAGUUGCAGUAGAAUUGCCAGAUCAGAUUAGAACCAGAAUCCCUUCUCUUCGUAAUCCAACCUAAAACUUAACUUUAUGCAAGUGUAUGUAUGUUUACAUUAUCACAGGAAACAAUGAGCACAUCCAUAGUCAGUCAGACAGAAACAGAUAUGCACACACAUACCCAGCUAACCAGGUUCAGAGUUAAACAUCUCACACAAAAAUUACCAAUAUCAUAUAAGCCGUAUCCCAAAACAAAGUUUUAAUUCCUAAGGCUUAGCUAAGGGCUGAAGCACAUGAACACAUUAUCAGAUUAAAAACGCACACAAAAUUAAUAUAAGUGUCUUAGAACCACAUGCCCGUGUGCUCUGGCCGGGUGGAAACGCCGAGGCUGUGUGGGAGGUCAAAAGCCCAUGUAAAAAGGGGCACACAGCCGUGUGGCUGAGGCACAUACCCGUGUGAAGAGAGGCACAUGCUCCUAUGGACUAGGGACAUGGCCAGGGGAACAAGCCGUGUAACUUUCUGCCCAUUUACACUAAAAUAGAGUACAGGCUAACAUGACUGUUCUAAUUGAUAUGCAUGUAUGUCUGUAUGGGCUAAGGCCCGAAUGUAUCUGAUACUGUUCUGGGUGGGCUAAGGCCUACACUGAUUCUGUUAAGAGCUCAGGUUCGAUUAUGACUGUUUGACUGCUAUUCGUUUACAUGCAUGCUUUACUGUGGGGAUGUACACACUGAGUUUGUGAAAACUCACCCCUUAUUUUUUUUUUCUGUCAGGUAAUCCCCAGCAAUAGGUGGAUCGGUGCAGUGAAAGGCUCGACGGUGACCACUGCUACAUACACUCUGGUUUUAAAGGUUUUUAAUGCUUUUAUUAUUUUGUUUGCUAUAGUUGAGGGUAAUUAUGUAAUUUCUAGUUUUAGACUAUUCGGUUUAAGUUUAAAACUUUAAAAUCCUGUUUCUGGAUUUUAGAACUGCAACUUUAUUUGUUCUUAAGCUUCUGCGAACUAAGAAACGUUUUCAAGCAAAUUAAUCAAUAUAUAUAUUUUCUAAGUUAAGUAAAAGGUGGUAACUGGAAUGGUUUUUGGGUAAACACAGUUUUAAAUACAUUCUCAUGUGACUUCGCCAGAUUCGGCCAUAACAUUUAGUCAGGUUUAGGGUGUUACAUUUAGUGGUAUCAGAGCCAAGUUAAAAAACUCGGAUGUGGAUUUGGGUUUCAAAAUUUGGUUUUAAGAAAAUGAUUUGUAAAGCGAUUUGAAAUAUUUUUGAUAACAAGUAUGUGGUACACCGAGCCAUUAGCAUUGAUCCUGUAAGUUCUCUAAAACUCUAAUAUGUAUUGUCUGAAAGCAUAAUUAUACUGAAAUUUUGUCUUUAUCUGUCUAAAAUAUUUUGUAUGUGUUAUGAGGCUACUAUGGGUAGUACGUUACUGAAACACUUUAGGUAGUAUGGACUGAAACUGUAGUGAGACUGCUUCUCGCGAUAACUGAGUCUGAAACUCUAUUCCUAUAUCGCAUAAAAUAUCUGCUAAUAAUUAUUGAAACUGUAAACUGAUGUGAAUAAAACUUCUAAUUACAGAUUAAUUCGAUAGUUACGAUGAGCGCAUGUGGUACUCGUGGACGGGGUACUAGAGGCUGAGGUAGAGGCCGUAGAGGGAUUCGAGCUGAGUCUUUCGCAUCUGAUAUAAUCAUUAAUCUGGACACUAGUGAGAUGACGGUGUCACCUGUUACUGAGGCUGGUGCUGAGUCUCAAGAUCAUACAGCUGGGGACGACACACUGUCCCAGGCCAUGCUGCGAAUUCUAGAGAGAGUCGCUAGGGCUAAUACUGGAUCUGGAGACCGUGGGUCGGUUACAGAAUGACUCCGGUCGAAUGGGGAUGAGAUAUUCGGAGGCAUCGCUAGGGUUACUCUGAGUGUGGCUGAGUACUGGAUGGAGGCCACGGAGCUUAUCAAAGACGAUCUGGACUUUUCUAAUGAGCAGAAGCUCAAGGGGGUUGUGUUAUUAUUGCGAGAUGAGGUAUAUCAGUGGUGGCUGACCGUUAAGGAGGGCAUUCAGCCAAUUAACUGACUUAGGAACUGUUUAAGACCACUAAUCAGAGUAAGUACGUAGGAGCUAGCUACGCUGAUGCUAAGCGACGUGAGUUCCUAAAUUUCACUCAGGGUGACCGUUCAGUGGCCGAGUAUGAGGCCAAAUUUUUUAAACUGAGUCACUAUGUGAGGGGUAUGGCGACGACUAAGUAUGAGCGCUGUGUUCGAUUCGAGGAUGGUCUUCGAGACAAUCUCCGAGUUCUGAUAGCUCCUCAGAGGGAGUAAGAUAUCUCCAUCUUGGUCGAGAAGACCAAGAUAACCGAGGAGGUGAAGCGCUCUGAGCGCAAAAACUCACCCCUUAUUUUAUUUGUCUAUCAGGUAAUCCCCAGUAGUAGGUGGAUUGGUGUAGUGGAGGGCUCGACGGUAACCACUGCUACAUACACUUUGGUUUUAAAGGUUUUUAAUGCUUUUAUUAUUUUGUUUGCUAUAGUUGAAGGUAAUUAUGUAAUUUCUGGUUUCAGACUAUUUGGAUUAAGUUUGGAAUUUUGAAAUCCUAUUUAUGGAUUUUAGAACUGCAACUUUAUUUGUUCUUAAGCUUCCGCGAACUAAGAAACUUUUUCAAGCAAAUUAAUCAAUAUAUAUGUUUUCUGAGUUAAGUAAAAGGUGGUAACUAGAACAGUUUUUGGGUAAACACGGUUUUAAAUACAUUCUCAUGUGACUUCGCCAGAUUCAGCCAUAACGUCUAGGCCAGGUUUGGGGUGUUACACACAGGGCCUGCGACACAGCUAUGUGUGGCAAGUCAGAUAGUUACAUGGCCUGGCACAUGGUCGUGUGUCCCUUGUUCCAUUGUUACACGGUCUUGUGACCCCUGGUUUCCAAUUUUUGCAACUUUGCCUUAAAACUUUUGUUUUGUUUCAAAUUAGUCUUGAAUUACUUUUAAGCUAUUUUUAGGGCCUCGAAAGCUCGAUUUAAGGACCAAAUGCAUAUGUUUGAUAUGAUUCUAAUUGAGACACAUUUAUUAGUUAUUAUGAUGAUAAAUGUUUUCUAAUUAAUUAGUAAUACUCCGUAACCUUAAUCCGGUGACAAAGAUAGAGACAGGUUUGGAGUAUUACACAGAUCAUAGCACAACAUAUUACAUAGUCGAAUCGAAUAGCUUAUUAGAACAGAUAAUAGAAUACGUAUAACACACAAGCUUAACUUACAUACCUACUUAUAGCAAAUCCUAACACAUUAUUAUACUUAUCGGAACUUAUUUAGCAUACCUCUAACACUUAUCCAUGUUUGUUUACUGAGAUUUAUGCUUUUCUGGGUCUACAUAAUGCCUACGAACCUAAUUUCCAAGUCCUAUAACCAAAGGCCUAUACGACCCAAAAAUCUAGCCCGUGUGUCCACACGGUCUACCUACACGGUCUGCAAAAUCUCACACGACCGUGUGCCUCUCAUAGCUAAGCCACACGGGCCGCAUGAUUUCAUAUGGUUGUGUGCCCCACACGGUCUACCACACCACUGUGUGGUACACAAGGUCUACCACACGAUCGUGUAGUCGCUAGGCAAUUUCGAAAACAACUCUUGUUUCGUGAAUUUCUCAAAUUUUGAGCGAUGACUCGGGUUAGAAUCACACACCUGAUAGUAGAAUUGAUCGAGUACACAAAAAAUGCACUCCGAAUCUUACAUAUAACGUUUAAAUAAAUUGAUUAUAACACAAUUAAAUCCCGAAAAACCUUCUCGAAGACACUUUCUUUUCUUACAAACAUUAUCCCAAACAACAUUCAAAUACUUACCUACUCCAUAAUAGCGAACUUACGAUGAUUACACUGUUGAAGAUUCUCGAUUCAAAACCCCCUCGCAUAAAAAGAAAGCCAAUAAUUGUUCAUCAACCAACCUAUGAGGAUAAUAAAAACGAAAUCAUCCUUUUAUGACGAACAACAUAAAACCAAAAAACACAACCAAAAUAACUGAAACUUACACUAACCUUGGAUAUAAUUGAAUCUAGAAAAACACCAAAAUCCCACUAGAGACAACAGCAGCAAGGAAUGUCCAAUGGAAAAAGAAAAAGAAGUCUCAAAAGAUUCAAAAGAAGAAAAGGAUAAGGAACCCCAAAGAAAGAGAAAUAAAAUAUUGAGAAAAGAGAAAAUGGGUGAGAGGAACGUGAAAGUAGGAGAGACAAUUGGGAUAAUUUCUUAACCACCCACAUCCUACUAAGUCUCAUAAUUAACCACCCACACCCCACUAAAUCCCACAAUUAACCACCCACCAGAUUCCCUCAUAGUUCAAAACAAAAACAAUUUCCACUUGUCACACAAUGACUCAAACACAAAAUCAAAAGGUAAGCUAACAAUCACCUUACCACCAAAUCAAACAGGCUCAUUCUUAUCAAUAAAUGCACUUAAAUAUUUCUUAAACCAAAUACCAAAAACUAGGGAUUUAGAAAAAAAUGGCAAAAAUACAACUGAAAAGAUUUGAACCCAAAACCUUUCUCACACAAGCACAACUCCUAACCACUUAGCCAGAACAAUUUACUUAGUAUAAUUUCGGAAUCUUAACUCAAAAAUCACAAUGUGACCCUUCUAGGUUUCACCAAUCCAAUUUCUUCCAACCUGAUUUUUAGGAUGUGAUAUAGUAAGGUUUUAACGAGACACAAUAUCUUCCAAUGGACAUCUAAGGGGAGUGUUAUGACUAUCUUAUUAAGUGGAUGUUCAUUAAAAUCAAGAUAAGUUUUGAUAUAUUUUAAAUUCUAAUAGUCAUUAGAAGUAUAGUUCUAUUUCAUUUAUACUUCUUAUGUCUAUAAAUAUAGACUUUGGAGAAGCAUUGUAAAUGUAACACCCCUUACCCGUAUCUGACGCCAGAACAGGGUACGAGAUAUUACCGGACUUAAGUACUUGUAAUCAUUUAAAAAUAAGACAUAAAAUUUCAUCAAAUUUUAAACUUUUCAAACAUAUAUAAUUUGUCUCUUAAAAGGACCUACGAGGCCCAAAACAAUCAUUGAAAUUGGUUUGGAAAUAAACCAAAAUCUUUCAGACACUUAGUAAUUUUUUUUUUACCAAAGCAGGGUCACACGCCCAUGUCUAGACCCCGUGUAAAAAUUAGCUAGCUACUGACUUGCUCACACGGCUAGACCACACACCCGUGUGGUGGCCGUGUUCUUCACACGGCUGAGACACAUGGUCGUGUCUCAAGCCCAUGUGUAUCAUAUGCUAUUUUCCAAGCCCUUUUUGUGUUCUUAACUUAGCCACACCAAGAUAUUUAUCUAUGCAUACAUAAAAUAGGUUUACAUAACUUUAACCAUUAUGAGCCAAAUCUUAUGGCUAUAUACAAUGAAGCAAAAUGAGCCUAUACAUUUGGCUAAAUCAUGAUAUUACCUAAUAUCAAUAACUUAUUAUCUAUACAUGCCACUUAUUUGACAAUAAAUAAGAAUUACCAUUAUUCUAAUUUGAUAAACUAAUAGUGUGAUGAUACUUCCGACGAUUUCCAACCCCGAGCCAACCUGACAACACUAAGAGAAAUGGGAAAAUGGUGUAAGCUUAAAAGCUUAGUAAGUUGGAAUAUUAAUAAUAAUAAGCAAUUUAAUUAACAAUAUUAUCCCAUUCCUCAAUGAUUAUGCUCAAGAAAAUAGAAUCAUUAAUCACAUGAUUUCAUCUUUUUACACAAGAUCAGCUAAGGCUAUUUUCCUGAAUCAUAGUCACUAAAUUAUUUAUAUCUAAAGGUACGAAACUCCGAAUUAAGUUUUGUUAAUUUUCCAUGAAACUAGACUUAUUUUCCUUUCUUCCAUAAAAUUUCCAGAAUUUUUGGUUAAGCCAAAUAGUACAGUUUAUUCCUCAAAGUUACCCCUGAUUCACUAUCUGACAGUUCCGACCCUUCUGUACUAAAGUUCAAUUAUAUCAUAGUACAAGACUCGAAUAAUGUUCUUGUCUAUUUCUCUUGAAACUAGACUCAUAUGUCUACUUACUAAUUUUUUUCUAUAAUUUUUGGUUGGGCCAAUUAGUACAGUUUAUUAGUUAAAGUCUCCCCUGUUUUAGGGUAUGACCAAUCUGACCCCUAUGCACUACAAACAGAAUUUCUCCCUGUAUAGAAUUCCAACGACCAUACUAUUUAUUUCCCCUAAAAAUAGACUCAAUAAUGAAUCCAUGCAUGUAAGUUAUGACUCUUAAUAAUUUUUCUACAAUUGUUGGUGAAUUUCUAAAGUCAGAACAGGGGAUCUCGAAUUCAUUCAGACCCUGUUUCACAAGAAUUCAAAUAUCACACAAUAUGAAAUUCUUUUUCUUCCCCUGUUUCUUUCAUGUGAAAAUAAACUCAUUAAGCUUUAAUCUCAUAUUUUAUUCUACCUCUAACUCAUUUUCCACUAUUUGUAGUGUAUUUUCAAAGUUACACUACUGCAGUAACUCAAAUCUGUCAAGGCUAAAUUACUCAUUCAUAUUUUCGAUAUACCCGUUGAACUAUUUGGAAUAAAAAUUGGAUACUCGGGAAUCUCGCACACCUAAGUGCCAGUAUCAUGGUUCGAAGCCAAAUCAAUGUAACUUUAAUGACAUGCCCUUUGUAUCCUAAUUUAUUCCUAAAGUUCAACAGGAAUUUCCAAUGCCAAAUUUUCAUAAAAUACUUCCAUACAAUCAUAAUCAUCAACAAUUCAAUUAUACAGGAUUAAAUCUCAAUUAUAAUAAUGCUAUUAACAAGCUCAUACAUACAUGUACAUACCUGUACCGAUCCAUAACAAAAUCAUACUUACACGAAAUGUCGCUGUACAAUCGAUGUCUUGCACGCUAAGUGCUAUACCGGAUGUUUCGCACACUAAGUGCCAUCCUCGAUACUUCGCACACUAAGUGUCAUUUCGAAUGUCUUGCACACUAAGUGUCAUCCUCAAUACUUCGCACACUAAGUGCCGUUCGUUUGGUCGAUAAAUCAUUAAUCAUUAAAAUACUCAUAAAUAUUCCAUUUAUAUGAUUUCAACGCAUUAAAUGCUCAAUAUAAUAAUACUUAAUACGUACGAACUUACUUGUUUAUAACCUUACCACAUCCCAGUCACUUAAUGAACACAUCAUUCACAUAACCAAGUUCCUGCACUUAUUCCUCACAAAACUCACAAAGCAGUACGUAGUAAGUCUCCUGUUGAACACUUCGGAUCAAUACUCGAUACUUGGUGGUUUCAGCACAUAGCUCCACCCAUUAUAUAGUUCGGCUCUCUUGUACACAUGGUGAACACUUAGUACCACCCAUGUGAUCUAGCCAGUUUAUCUCGUAGCUCUCUUGUCUACAUGGUGUACAAAUAGUAUCACCCAUGUGACCUAGCUACAUUAUAAUGUCUCGUAGCUCUCUUGUACACAUGAUGUGCACUCAGCACCAUAUAUGUGACCUAGCUACAUACCAUCUGUAUCAUUCAAUCUUUCCGAAGGUUCAACCGGGAUUUCUCUCUCUUUUUUCAAUAAUUUCACCAAUCAAGUAAUUAUCAACAAACAUAUUUCCAAUAUUAUUAUAAAAUAUCAUAAUACAAGUAAAAUUGAUGUCUUACUUACAUAUAAACUUACAUCUCAUUUAAUAUCAAGGCAAUAAUAUUAUUACAGUAUUAUUAUCAUACCAACUUACCUCAAAUGCUGAAACGGCUAACUUUUCUGACUUAGCACACAACUUUGUUCUUCCUUGAUCUUAAUCCAAAAUUUCAUGUUUUCUUGAUCUAACAUGUCAAAUAACACUUAUUUAACACAUUUUAUCAACACACUAACCAAUUCAAUUCAUAUAUCAAAAUUUGGAAAUUUUACAAUUAUGCCCCCUAACUUUUCAAAAAUUACACUUUUACCCUAGGCUCGUAAAAUAAUUUUUUUAUUCAAUUUCUAUAAGGUUUAAGACAUGCUGAACAUUUUUCUCUUCUAUGGAAACUCCAAAUUUUCACUAAUUCACACACUUAUGACCAAUUUAUAACUUUUACAAAUUAACCCCCUUUUUGACAUUUUUACCGAAAUUCAUUGAAUAAAACUCAUAUUUAACACAUCAAGCAUUCAUUAUCUACUAUAAAUCAUCAAAACACAACCAUAUCAUGAAUGGGUAAUUUUUUAAACUCUAAUUUCUCUUCAAUCAAUUGGUAGAAAUAGAAAAUUUAAGCUUCAGGGAUCUCAAAAAUACGAAAAUCAUUAAAAACGGGACAAAAACCGUACCUAUAUAAGCCAUAGAAGCUUGACCGAAUGGAGCUCAUCCAUGGCUGCCAUUUUCGGUUCUUUCCCACGGUUGAAGAAGAAAGAAUGGAAAAAAAUGAUAGCUUUUAUC
rnacentral:lncRNA from 1 species